rnacentral:rRNA from 1 species
ACGAACGCUGGCGGCGUGCUUAACCCAUGCAAGUCGAACGAAGAGCGCCGGAAGCUUGCUUCUAUCAAUCUUAGUGGCGAACGGGUGAGUAACGCGUAAUCAACCUGCCCUUCAGAGGGGGACAACAGUUGGAAACGACUGCUAAUACCGCAUACGAUCUAACCUCGGCAUCGAGGAUAGAUGAAAGGUGGCCUCUACAUGUAAGCUAUCACUGAAGGAGGGGAUUGCGUCUGAUUAGCUAGUUGGAGGGGUAACGGCCCACCAAGGCGAUGAUCAGUAGCCGGUCUGAGAGGAUGAACGGCCACAUUGGGACUGAGACACGGCCCAGACUCCUACGGGAGGCAGCAGUGGGGAAUCUUCCGCAAUGGACGAAAGUCUGACGGAGCAACGCCGCGUGAGUGAUGACGGCCUUCGGGUUGUAAAGCUCUGUUAAUCGGGACGAAAGGCCUUCUUGCGAAUAGUGAGAAGGAUUGACGGUACCGGAAUAGAAAGCCACGGCUAACUACGUG